UAAAUUGAGAGUUUGAUCCUGGCUCAGGAUGAACGCUGGCGGCGUGCUUAACACAUGCAAGUCGAGCGAUGAAGUUUCCUUCGGGAAACGGAUUAGCGGCGGACGGGUGAGUAACACGUGGGUAACCUGCCUCAUAGA
rnacentral:rRNA from 1 species